rnacentral:tRNA from 1 species
GAGGUUGUGGCUCAGUGGUAGAGUGCUUGCCUAGCCCACAUGAGGCACUUGGGUUUGAACCUCAGCACCACA